AAAUGCUUCUCUGCUCACCACAGUUGUAAAGAGUAGUUAUCUGAGUUACUGCAGCCUUUUUGUCUUCUCCAACCAGUAAGACCAUUCUCCUCUGACCUCUCUCUUUAACACUCUGUCUACAGAACAGAAGAUCAGCAGUUACAGAAGAAGUCAAACCAUGCUGAAUACCAUACCACAAGUCACUGUAAUCACAUAUUUCAUCAUUCUGAUGUAAAGGUCAAGCUGUAUCUGCUUUCCCCAGGCUUUUGGUCUUUGUCCUUACCUGGGCUAAAAAAUAGCCCCUAAUUUCUUCACUGUACGAGACAUGCAGAGAUUAAUUAAUGUGAAUUUUUCUUAUCUCUGUGUAAGAAAAGAUGUAUUUCUACAACAUCAGUGUGUUCUUUCAGUCAUAACAUUAACUUGUUUUAAACCUUAAGGAAAAUCAAGUCUUGCUGUCACAAAAUCAUCUGUAUGACCUACAGACAGAUUAUUUUAUACUCACAUGAAGAAUUUGACUACAUUCCCUUACAGUGUGCUCAGACAAGGAUAGAGAUUACUGAAUUACAAUUUCCCCUCACCAUUACUGUCUCUGCCUGCACUUUCACAUGUUGCUGGAAAACUGAACAGUGCAGAUGAUGGAUGGAUAUUGACAAUGUAUACACCGGCUGUGAAGAACAUCACAGCUAUAGUUGUAUGUUUUAGACAGUGAAUGUUAUUCUGUGAAGUUGUAGAUGUCAUUGUGAACUAAGGUUUAUUUAGGAUGUACAGGAUGGUGUAUACAAAGUGAAGUGAAGCCAGUGU
rnacentral:misc_RNA from 1 species